rnacentral:misc_RNA from 1 species
AGCCCCCUCGUCUUCGUUCAUCUGUGUGAUCCUGCACGCUCUCUGCUUACCUCUCUCUCUCUCUGUUGAGCUCUGCGACCUGCACCUCUCUGCGCGGCGUUCCUCUCCGUUGCGGACGCCUAUGUGUGCGUGUGCACUCCUCCCUCCCCUCUCAGCAUGUCCCCCAUCCACAAAAAGCACAUGGAAGUGCUCGGACUGGGUGUGAAGGGCACGGCUGGUGACGCGAGCAACACCCACCGCCCCGCUGGCGCGCUAUCGUGGGAAGAGGAGCAGCUGCCGCGGGAGUCAUCCCUCACCGGCGGCGCCACGGCGGCGGCGGCGGCGGCAGCCGCUGCAGCGUCCGGGGACGUGCGUCAUGGCCCUCUCCCCGAAGAAGACGACCUGAGCAACGCCACCAUUGUCCUCGCAGCCGCUGCCGAAACACCAACGACGAGGACGCCGAUCUUUGGCAGCAGCCUUCGCAGGUUCUCCGACCCCCUGGCGUCUUUGCCGCUCCGCCACCUGCUCCUCAGGGGGUCCAGUUUUGCAUCCCCCCUAACGAUCACGUCGGUUUGCCUGGAGCCGUGCCGUACACCUGGCGCGGAGGAGACGGCGGCGGCAGCAGCGACUCGGAUGACAGCGCGCAGCACGGCACCCGCCACUCAGCACGACCCUGCCGGCUCUAUCGACAUGGCCUUCGCCUCCAGGGUCCGCGCCGCGCCGUUGUCGCCGGUGACGGUGCCGGCGCCCGCACACGAUGCGGGCAACGACUACGUCACUCUUAUCCGCUCGCUGCCGAGCCGCACCGCCUCCGUCGUCAUGCCCUCCCUGUGCGCCUUCCGCGAGCGGCUGUGCAAGAUGUCGUUCAAGCAGAUUCUGUGGAUUAUCCUCCUCGUCGCCCUCGUCAUGGUCGGCAACUUCAUGCAGAUCGUGAUGCUGAACUUCUGGCUCAUCUCCUUCCCCUCCGAUGGGACGCCUGGCAACUACACCGCCUUCGCCGUGCCGGGCAUCUUCUUCGCCGUUCUCUUUGUGCUCCUCCUCGGCGCCUACACCGCGAUCUGGCGGCCGUCGCUGCGCUUCGCCAGGCACGCGCACGGCUGGGUGAUCCUCAUCGGUGUCGGUUUCUGCGACGCCUUCAACAGCUGGCUGGCCACGUACGCCGCGUCGUACACCUCCGAGGUGCUGCAGGCGCUCUUUUCGAACCUCUGCCCCCUCUACGCCGUAUUCCUCUGCAAGUGGAUCCUGCACGACACGCGCCGCUACGCCAACGUCUACAUCGUCUCCGUCUUUGUGCUCACCAUAUGCGGCAUCCUCGCCGCCUCGCUCUACGGCCUCAUCAAGGACCACAACAUGGGCGAGGGCAAGUGGUGGAUCCUCAUCUUCUUCCUCUCCAUGCCGUUUCGCGUGCUCAUGAACGUGUGGCAGUCCCUGUACAUGAUCGUCUACACCCACGACCCGAACUUCGUCCUGUGGCUGCGCAUGCGGCUGGCGACCGCGGAGGAGGCCGCCGAACCGGUUUCCGCCGCGGUGAGGGGCAGCAACGAGGUCACGCCCGACACCUCCGACACAUUUUUCCGGGGUGGCGCCGACGUGGUCGCUGGCCCCGCCUCGCCUCUGGACGUCGACUGUGCAAAGGCGGCGUCAUCGAUCGCGCGCUACGACGGCCGCGCGUUGAUGGGUGGACUCGAGGACGAGGAGGACGGCAAGGAAGAGCUGCGCGGCGCAAGACCUGCCAGGCACGCCAAGACGAAGAUAGCAAACUCGGUGAAGCCCAACUCCGUAGAUGUCAACGACGAUGAUGCUGUGGGGGACAGCACGGAGGCGCAUGAGCCGGUGACAAGCGACAGCUCCGAUGGCGCUGCUGGUGGUGUUGUUGCCACCGCCCCUGCAGCAUCGCCAGGCGAGCCCGCUACGAGUCUCGUGAACGUGCAUGGUGCGGUGUAUAGCCUGAGUGGUGUUGAGGACGGUGAAUACUUGCGUCCGACCGCGACUGGCGCGCCGCCGCUGCCGACGCAGACCAUGUUCACGGUGCGCUACAACCAAGGUGAGGACACCAUCGUCAAGCUCGUCAUGCUGGCGGGUGAGACGGUGAUACAGCUGUGCUUCACGUUGUGCCUGCUCCCGGCGGACGCGCUGCCGUGGUGGGGCAACAGCGAAACGGUCAGCGCGACGUUGGACAACUUCGCCGAGGGCAUCCGCUGUGUCUUUACAAUCCGAGACAACUUCCUCUACUGCUUCCUGUACACGCUCGGCUUCGUCUUCACGUACGUCGGGUGCGCCUACCUGAACCACUAUAGCGCCGCCCUGUGCUCCAUCGUUACCCAGCUCUCCUCGCCCGUCACAGCGCUCAUGCUCGUCAUUGUGCCGAGCUGGAACGUGCAGGUGGACGGCGACUCCCCCUGGUACUACAACAUGAUCGCCAUCUUCUUCCUGUGUGUCGCAGCUCUCAUCUACGUCAUGUGGGAAGAGAUGACGGAUGACGAGAAGGUGCAAGCGGAGUACGAGCUGAAGAUGAAGGAGCUGCGCGUGCGUCCGUCGUCGCACGAGGCGCCACAUCACGUUACGAUACAGGGGUGAGAUGGCGCGCAGACCUGUACGGGUGCGUGAGUGGUGAGGGGUAAAGUGAUUCUCGGCGCGCCCACGAGUAUGUAUGUGCCGGUGUGUUCAGAGAAGUUCUCUCUCUCUAUAUAUAUAUAUGUGUGAGCCAAGCGAUCCAGUGGAAGGGUGCGUGUGCGUCGACGGAGGGCAGGAGAGGUGUUGAUACCCCCUGCUGGUGUUCGAGAGUGUGGGUGUCGUUAUGUACGAAGCAUGUGUCCGGUGACUGUGUGUGUGUUUUUUUUUGGGGGGGGUGAGCGAGCGUAGGCGCGCAUCGCCCCCUUCUCUUUUCGUUGCUUGUCCCAUCCACCGGAGCGCUCUCCUCCUCCUCCUCCUCCUCCCUCCCUCCCUCCCUCCCUCUCCCUCGCCCUUAAGGAGAGCGAUGCCGUCCCCAGACACACGCACGCAACAUGCCGCCAUACCCAUCCGACGAACAAACCUAAUAAGAAGGUGUAGCAGGGGGAGGGGGGAGGGCUGAGCAGUAGCACCCGAUGGAGCGUCUUCUGGCGACGGCGAGGCGAGCAAAACGUCGGAAGGUGGCCAGUGGGGGUGGAGGUGGAGGGGUCACGGAGCACACCGCUCGCCACGUCGUGAAGGGUGCUUGCACGCUCGCCUCUGUGUGGCCUCUUACAGACGCGUCCUCUCCACCUCCUCUUA